UACUCUGCGUGCGCUUCAGGUGCUUCCAUAGAGAAGUGAAACUGGGAAGUUAGUUAAAUUUUUGAAUUUAAAGCUAACACUGCCCCCGCAACGGUGAAUAGUUAUCUUGUUAUAACUUAAGUCCGGAGACCGGCCUGCUGCAAACCUAAUUU
rnacentral:ncRNA from 2 species